rnacentral:rRNA from 1 species
CCUACGGGGGGCAGCAGUGGGGAAUAUUGCGCAAUGGGCGAAAGCCUGACGCAGCGACGCCGCGUGAGGGAUGAAGGUCUUCGGAUCGUAAACCUCUGUCAGCAGGGAAGAACGGUCACUGUGCUAAUCAGCAGUGAAUUGACGGUACCUGCAAAGGAAGCACCGGCUAACUCCGUGCCAGCAGCCGCGGUAAUACGGAGGGUGCGAGCGUUAAUCGGAAUUACUGGGCGUAAAGCGCUCGUAGGCGGGAUGGCAAGUCAAGGGGGAAAUCCCCGCGCUCAACGUGGGAACUGCCUUUGAAACUGGCAAACUGGAGUGUGUGAGAGGAUAGUGGAAUUCCAGGUGUAGGAGUGAAAUCCGUAGAUAUCUGGAGGAACAUCAGUGGCGAAGGCGACUAUCUGGCACAUAACUGACGCGGAGGAGCGAAAGCGUGGGUAGCAAACAGGAUUAGAUACCCUGGUAGUC